AUCACUAAGCGGAGGAAAAGAAACUAACCAGGAUUCCCCCAGUAACGGCGAGUGAAGAGGGAAGAGCCCAGCACCGAAUCCCCUGCCUUGAGGGCAGAGGGAGCUGUGGUGUUAGGGAGAGCCUCUGGCGUGCGCGCGGCUAGGUCCGAGUCUCCUUGAUCGGGGCCUUGCCCACAGCGGGUGUCAGGCCUCUACGACCUGCCGCGCGUCGCCUCUGCGCCUCCCGGGAGUCGGGUUGUUUGAGAAUGCAGCCCAAAGCGGGUGGUAAACUCCAUCUAAGGCUAAACACUGGCACGAGACCGAUAGCAGACAAGUACCGUGAGGGAAAGUU
rnacentral:rRNA from 1 species